UGGAUAAACCCUAACCAGAUCUUCGUCGUGCCCAGGCCGGAUGGCUGGCUCCUCCUCCGGCAGCAGCGCCACCCCCAGCCCCCUCACAAGCCUUCUUUUUCUUCUUUGGUCGCCCCGGCGCGGCCUCCACCGCUCGGCUUCAACAUUGACGAGCUUCCGUCGCCGUUCAUGGAGAAUGGUGUUGUUUCAGUUCGUAUCUCGGAGGCUCCUUUCCUCCGUGGUCUGGAACGCUGCAAGACAAACCUUGUGGGCAAGGUUGUGCUCCCUCCCAGAGCCACGCCACUCAAGAUGCGCGAAUCUGGCGCUGCAAUUGAAGCCGCGUUGGCCUGCCUUGCAGGGUUGGUCAGGUUCGUCAUUGGUUUAUUUUUCGAUCAGGUACGCCACUUAAAAUGGAUUUAUCUAAGACCUGGACCUUUUCUAGAUUCUUUUUAUCAAUCAGGUACGCCCGUUGAACCUUCAUCUUCUACUUCUUACGUUUGAUGUCUUCAAGUACAAAUCAAUCUUUUAGUUAAUUGCUUGAUAUCUUCACUGUCUAUUUUUCAUUGCUACUUGGAUUAUUUAUAUCUUAUUGGCUUAUCCUUGAAUAAGUUUUUUGGUGAGCUUCACACUGUAUGUGAAAACUUUUGCACCGUGAAGCUUUCAGCUUCGAAUAAAAGUAUGAAUUGUUCGAUCUUUAUCAUGUUUAUGGAUAGAAUGCAGGGAUCUGUUUCUAACAAUGUUGUAUUAACCUAUCCUCAGGAUUCUCUUCGGCUUAACCUAUGGAAUACCUUGAGAAGGUUGGAACCUCAAAACAAUGAACCCUGUUCAUGAAAGUUCUUCAGUGGGAAUUAAAUGCCAUUGAGAAGGACAAGGAUGCAUUUAUUGAGGACUUUUCUAAGGUGGACUACAAUGACAUGGUGGAUGGAAGGCAAAGCUGGUUAGGACUAACUCUAGAGAGUAGAAGUGGGGCCUCUUCCUCGCCAAGAAUAAACGAUUAUGACACCUUAAGUUUUGCAUAUGCAAAUGCAAUAUUGUACUUGAGUUAGAUAUGCAUUUCAGAUAAACAUUGUAUUCAGUUGCUGGUGUGUUGUGUUUUAGAUAGUCUUAUCUUAAACUAUGUCGUUGUCUUAUUAGUGUUUGAACUUUGCAUUC